rnacentral:rRNA from 1 species
CAGAAAGACCCUAUGAAGCUUUACUGUAACUUGAAAUUGAAAUUGGACUUUAGUCGCGCAGUAUAGGUGGGAGGCGUUGAAAAUAUUCUUGCGGGAAUAUUGGAGCCGUAAGUGAGAUACCACUCUUCUAAUGUUAGAUUUCUAACUUUGAACCAUUAUCUGGUCAAAAGACAGUUUCAGGCGGGCAGUUUGACUGGGGCGGUCGCCUCCCAAAUGGUAACGGAGGCGUACAAAGGUUUCCUCUGAACGGGUAGAAAUCGUAUCUAGAGUAUAAAGGCAUAAGGAAGCUUGACUGUGAGACCUACAAGUCGAACAGGGACGAAAGUCGGUCUUAGUGAUCUGACGGUACUGAGUGGAAAGGCCGUCACUCAACGGAUAAAAGUUACUCUAGGGAUAACAGGCUGA